rnacentral:rRNA from 1 species
GACGAACGCUGGCGGCGUGCUUAACACAUGCAAGUCGAACGGAAAGGCCCUGCUUUUGUGGGGUGCUCGAGUGGCGAACGGGUGAGUAACACGUGAGUAACCUGCCCUUGACUUUGGGAUAACUUCAGGAAACUGGGGCUAAUACCGGAUAGGAGCUCCUGCUGCAUGGUGGGGGUUGGAAAGUUUCGGCGGUUGGGGAUGGACUCGCGGCUUAUCCGCUUGUUGGUUGGGUAGUGGCUUACCAAGGCUUUGACGGGUAGCCGGCCUUAGAGGGUGACCGGCCACAUUGGGACUGAGAUACGGCCCAGACUCCUACGGGAGGCAGCAGGGGGGAAUAUUGCACAAUGGGCGGAAGCCUGAUGCAGCAACGCCGCGUGCGUGAUGACGGCCUUCGGGUUGUAAACCGCUUUCGCCUGUGACGAAGCGUGAGUGACGGUAAUGGGUAAAGAAGCACCGGCUAACUACGUG